GGGUGCAUGGCCGAGAGGUUAGGCACAGGUCCGCAAAACCUGGCAGGGCGGUUCGAUUCCGCCUGCACCCUCCA
rnacentral:tRNA from 1 species